AUGGUAUGUUUUGUUAGUAUCUUCUACCUUUUCUAUGAAAGCUGUUCCUUUUUUUAAGUUUUCCUAAUCUUUAUAAAUCAACAUGAAAUAUUAUCAAUUUUAUUUUUCUUUUAAUUUAUUUAGAUCAUGCUGUGCCUGUGAACGCUCUUAACUCUCACACAGAAAAUGCAGAGGCUCAAACAAUAUCAACACGAGAUUCUCAAGUUCUGCUCCCUCAGAAUGACAAGUGUUCUGACGCUGCCCAUGUAUUUAAACCUCCAUUACAACAAGCUUCUGUACUACCAAAGAGAGACAAAAUCAUAGAAAAAGUAAAUGGAAACAAACAGCAGAGUAAAGUGGCAAGAGAAAAAUCUGUUUCAAUAUCAUAUGAGUCAUCUUCAUCAGCCUCUCAAAGUACAUCAAAGAUUCCUGUCAGGCAAAGCACCAGAAAAGCACAUGAGAAAUUAUCAGCCACUGCACCAGCAUUAAUAACAGGCAGUGUCAUCAAUGAGAAACCCACAUCAAGCAAGGGCAAUCCCAAACAGAAACCCCAAAAAGACAGAACAAGUAAUUCUUCAACAUCUACAGGUAAAAACAAAGUUUUUAUAUUAGUAUUAAAAUAUGUCCACUGCUCCCCUUUCCCUAGAAACUUACAUUGAUUGUUUUUUAUUUAUUUUUCAUUUGCAGCAGCACGAUGUAGAUCACCAGAUUUUUUGCUGUCAACAUCUGCACCUGCAAGACGAAAUGCAAAUGUUGAUAAUUCACCAAUUUUAGCAGAUGAAGAGGACGAUGAGGACGAAGAGGUCUCAGAGGAGGGAGAGGGUUGGCGCAUAGGUGAUCUGCAAGAAAUAGUAUUUCCCGAAGAAUCCAACCUCUCACAUCCAGAUGAAGUCAAAAGCCCAUUAGAGUAUUUUCGACACUAUUUUGAUGAUGAUCUUAUAACAUUGAUAGUAAAUGAGACCAAUUUAUAUACUACUCAAGAGAGUGGUAAAUCUAUUAAUGUAUCAAAUGAUGAGAUUUUGGCAUUUUUUGGGAUCAUGAUCUAUAUGGGAGUGUGUUCUCUACCAUGUGCCUCUGAUUACUGGAGUAGGGAUACAAUUGUUAACCAGAUUUCAGAAGUGAUGCCUCGUAAUAGAUACCAACAAAUCCACUCAAAAAUCCACUUCCAUGAUAAUGAGGAAGAUG